UAUAAGCUGUACAUACAAAUGCGUAUUUUCUCCUUUCUUUGUGUUAACAGCAUGAGAUAAGCUGUAGACCAAUUUUAUGUAGCAUUUUAUAUGCAAAUAAGAAGUUAUUUUUGCAUGUUUUCAUUUUUAUAGGAGACAGGCAAGAGAAUUUCAAAUAAUGCAGUUUUCCAUUCUAGUCAGAUAAUUGACUUUUCUAUUUAGUUAAUUCUGCUUUCUAUGUGCAUGUUUAUCUCAACAGCUGAUGAAAAAUAUUCAAACAUUAAAAGUUUGAGAUGUCAAUACAAUUUUAUAAAUAAUUUUAUUAUUUCAAAGUGAACUGUGCUCAUUUUGGCUUUUUUGAGUAUGAGUUGAAAUGGCCAUUUGAAACUAUUUCUCCAUUCAGCAGCAAGAAGCAUCUUCUAAAUGGAUAAAUUCCCAGAUUCACAGGCUCUCCACAUGGACAGAUAUGAAAAUGCUCCUAUGAUAAUGGUACAAGAUGCACAAAUGAAAUACAGAGGGAUGCAGUUUUGUUUUAUACUGCUUUCAUUAAGAACCCAAUUGCACGGCAAAAUCAGUUAGUAUAUAUCUCGUUCCAUGUGACAGCCAAUUUUCCACGGAGAUUGGAAACUCUUGGAGCCUUCUAAUCCUUGAUCUCACUUCGGGAAUACAAGAGCUGGGAGUUAUAGCAUGUUUUUAAAUUGUUUAAAGUAAAGCUUUGCUGUUAACAAGCACUCAUCCCUGGCUCCUGGACAAUGGAACUUCUGUGGAUGGAUGGUGCAUUGCCUUGACUCCAGAUCUGCUUUGAUGAUGAAAUACAUCUGAGACAUACUUAUUGGUCCAACAUAGUAAGUUAUUUUUUCCCAAGGAAUUUCUUUUCAGAAAACAACAUGUAGUGCUAUAAAUAUAUUUGUCACCAAAAUAACCUGUGACAUUAUUUAUUUGACCACCUAAGUAGCAAAGUUGAUUUCAUCAUGAUUCAUUUAAUCUUUUUUUUUUUUUUUUUUGGUCAUAUUUGUACCACACGUCAAGCACUUUCUAACUUUCAUCUAGGGAUGCAGUAGGUAACAGUCCUCAUGGGGUUUACAUUCUUGUGGAAAAGAUAGAUUUUAAAAACAAAUAAAUGCAUGAUAUGGGAUAAUUUUGCAGGUAAUAAGUGCUAUAAAGAAAUAAAAUAUAUUGAAGAGAAUGGUUAGGUGGAAAUCGAUUGCUAAUGUAAGUAGCAGAAACUUUAUUAUUUGGAGGACUGUAGAAAAUUUAUCAAUCAAGGGCCCCAUAAGUAGAAAGAAAGAUAAAUAAGUAUUUCACUGAAAACAUGUACCUCUUUCACGUACUUUCAAAUCCUGUCCACUGCUUUUGAGUUUCUCUUAGAAAACCUUUCAGUUCAGAACAGAAGAAUAUAGCAACGAUUGAAGUUUAGAGUUUAGGGAUAGUGUGUGCUCAAGAUACCUGUUCAGUACCCAGCACUGUGUACAAAAUAUUUUUUAUGGUGGUAACAACGAUGAGAAAGGUCAGAAUAGCUAGGGCUUGGAAAUAAUUGCUUGGUUCA
rnacentral:lncRNA from 10 species